UUGCUUAGAGACAUGGAGGGAUUCUCCUCCCGC
rnacentral:sRNA from 1 species